UUUUGAUUAUAAGUAUGUCCCAUGUGACAUUUGGGACAUACUUAUACUAUAA
rnacentral:pre_miRNA from 1 species